rnacentral:rRNA from 1 species
UACGUAGGGUGCGAGCGUUAAUCGGAAUUACUGGGCGUAAAGCGUGCGCAGGCGGUUUUGUAAGCCAGGUGUGAAAUCCCCGGGCUCAACCUGGGAAUGGCAUUUGGGACUGCAAGGCUGGAGUGCGGCAGAGGAGACUGGAAUUCCUGGUGUAGCAGUGAAAUGCGUAGAUAUCAGGAGGAAUACCGAUGGCGAAGGCAGGUCUCUGGGCUGACACUGACGCUCAUGCACGAAAGCGUGG